GAGGCGAACUAGGGGUAGAGGUAAGCACGAUUACCUGCUCUUUCCUACUAAUUUCGCACUUUAUCUAAGAGACUGGGGUGUUUACGUUAUUAUAAUCUGACAAGUAUUUUUAUACAGUAUACUAGCAGAGGAACUAAGCGAUCUCACAAAAUCUUUCGAUGUAACCUUUUCCUUACCUCGCCGUGCUCUGAAUGCAAGGUUGUAGGAAAACAUGUUCGUGGGGUAUGAACAGAAGUCUGAAAGCAUGAAAAAACACCUAGAAUCGUUUUCAUCGGCUGUAUAAAACCAUAUCAACACUACAUGAAUGAUUGCGUCUUAGCCAGCCAUUUUAGAAAGCCCACAGUGAUCACCGCCUUCAAAUGGACGCUUAUCAACAUCUAAAGAGCGGCGAUGUCGAAAAGUAAAGCUUGCAUACAGUAGCUGUUGUACAAGUUAUCAAAUCGAUCAUGGAAAGUCAGGACACUCCCAGAGAAUGUUCCUACCCCGCCCCUGUUGUCCCGGAGAUGACCGACAUCCAGAAACGGCUCCAGAAAAUGUGUGAGGGAGCAGGAGGGGAUGCA